rnacentral:rRNA from 1 species
UUGUAGUCUGCAACUCGACUACAUGAAGCUGGAAUCGCUAGUAAUCGCAGAUCAGAAUGCUGCGGUGAAUACGUUCCCGGGUCUUGUACACACCGCCCGUCACACCAUGGGAGUCGGAAAUGCCCGAAGCCGGUGACCAAACCAAUAAGGAAGGAGCCGUCGAAGGCAGGUCUGAUAACUGGGGUGAAGUCGUAACAAGGUACC